GCAUAUCAAUAAGCGGAGGAAAAGAAACCAACAGGGAUUGCCUUAGUAACGGCGAGUGAAGCGGCAACAGCUCAAAUUUGAAAUCUGGCCUCUUCGGGGUCCGAGUUGUAAUUUGGAGAGGAUGUUUCGGGCACGGUCCGGGCUUAAAUUUCUUGGAACAGAAUGUCACAGAGGGUGAGAAUCCCGUCUGGAGCUCGGACACGGCCUGUGUGAAACUCCUUCGACGAGUCGAGUUGUUUGGGAAUGCAGCUCUAAAUGGGUGGUAAAUUUCAUCUAAAGCUAAAUAUUGGCCAGAGACCGAUAGCGCACAAGUAGAGUGAUCGAAAGAUGAAAAGCACUUUGAAAAGAGAGUUAAACAGUACGUGAAAUUGUUGAAAGGGAAGCGCUGGCAACCAGACUUGCGCGUCGGGGUUCCCCCUUGCUUCUGCCUGGGUUACUCCCCGGCGUUCAGGCCAACAUCGGUUUCGGGGGUUGGUUAAAGGCCCUGGGAAUGUACCUACCCUCCGGGGUAGACUUAUAGCCCAGGGUGUCAUGCGACCUCCCGGGACCGAGGAACGCGCUUCGGCUCGGAUGUUGGCGUAAUGGUUGUCAGCGACCCGUCUUGAAA
rnacentral:rRNA from 1 species